UCCAACUACGUCUCAUCAAGGAGUGUAAGAGUAAUGACAAAGUCAUUAGUGAUAUAGCAGUGGUAAUAAAGGAAAAGUUUGAGAAGUAUUGGGACUGUUUCAGUGAGGUUCUAGCUAUUGCUGUUGUUCUUGCCCCUUGAUACAAGUUGACCUUUGUAGAACUUUGCCAUAAGAAGGUCUAUCUAACUACAUAUUUGAGUAAAUUGGAGGAUCUUAAAGGCAACUUGAAGAUGCUCCUUGAUAUAUAUGCAAAUCAAGUUAGCUCCGAUACUUGUAAUAUCACAUCGAAUACUAGCGAGAUGCAAGUUGCAGUUGAACCUGAGCUCAGCGGGUACGAGGAUUAUGAAAAUUCUUGGAAUGCCUCUAAAUUGGAGUCGGAUCUUUAUUUGGAGGAGUAGAAGCAUGAUCACAAACAAGCACUAGGCAUGAAAAUUUUAAAUUAUUGGAGGAAAAAUUCUGCAAGGUAUCCAAUUCUCUCUAUGAUGGCACAUGACAUUAUGAGCAUUCCAAUAACAAUGGUUGCUUCAGAGUCAACAUUUAGCAUUGGUGCCAAAGUUCUUAACAAAUAUCGUAGCUCACUUCUAUCAGAAAACAUUGAAGCCACUAUUUGUACUUGAAAUUGGUUAUGUGGUUUUGAAGGAAAAGAUGAUCCCACUGUUGUAGAGGAUGAAAUGCCUAAGGUUCCAUUAAUAAAGAAAAGCCAAUCUACAACAUCAACGGGAUCGACAGCCAAAAUAAAUCAAUGUGACGAUCAAUAUGGCCACUAGCAGGUGCUUUGUUCCUUUUUUUUAUUUGUUACCAUCUAUAGCUUUUUGCUUGUAUGAGUUGUAUCGAGUCAUAGAAG